rnacentral:rRNA from 1 species
GAUGAACGCUGGCGGCGUGCCUAAUACAUGCAAGUCGAGCGAACGGACGAGAAGUUUGCUUCUCUGAUGUUAGCGGCGGACGGGUGAGUAACACGUGGAUAACCUACCUAUAAGACUGGGAUAACUUCGGGAAACCGGAGCUAAUACCGGAUAAUAUUUUGAACCGCAUGGUUCAAAAGUGAAAGACGGUCUUGCUGUCACUUAUAGAUGGAUCCGCGCUGCAUUAGCUGGUUGGUAAGGUAACGGCUUACCAAGGCAACGAUGCAUAGCCGACCUGAGAGGGUGAUCGGCCACCCUGGAACUGAGACACGGUCCAGGCUCCUACGGGAGGCAGCAGUAGGGAAUCUUCCGCAAUGGGCGGAAGCCUGACGGAGCAACGCCGCGUGAGUGAUGAAGGUCUUCGGAUCGUAAAACUCUGUUAUUAGGGAUGAACAUAUGUGUAAGUAACUGUGCACAUCUUGACGGUACCUAAUCAGAAAGCCACGGCUAACUACGUG